GAUGAACGCUGGCGGCGUGCCUAAUACAUGCAAGUCGAGCGAACGGACGAGAAGCUUGCUUCUCUGAUGUUAGCGGCGGACGGGUGAGUAACACGUGGAUAACCUACCUAUAAGACUGGGAUAACUUCGGGAAACCGGAGCUAAUACCGGAUGAUAUUUUGAACCGCAUGGUUCAAAAGUGAAAGACGGUCUUGCUGUCACUUAUAGAUGGAUCCGCGCUGCAUUAGCUAGUUGGUAAGGUAACGGCUUACCAAGGCAACGAUGCAUAGCCGACCUGAGAGGGUGAUAGGCCACACUGGAACUGAGACACGGUCCAGACUCCUACGGGAGGCAGCAGUAGGGAAUCUUCCGCAAUGGGCGAAAGCCUGACGGAGCAACGCCGCGUGAGUGAUGAAGGUCUUCGGAUCGUAAAACUCUGUUAUUAGGGAAGAACAUAUGUGGAAGUAACUGUGCACAUCUUGACGGUACCUAAUCAGAAAGCCACGGCUAACUACGUG
rnacentral:rRNA from 1 species